rnacentral:lncRNA from 10 species
UAUGGCUGUGGAGACAAGUGAAACGGAAGGCGCAUGGGAAGUGGGAGGAGGAGGUGGUAACGAUUUUAAAUGGAGUAGUCAGGAUGGACUCACCGAGAGGAUCACAUUUGAGAGGGGUCAAACCGUGGAGGAUUCCCAGUGGGGGAACAGCUGGAGCAAAGGUCCUGAGGCAAGAGAGUGCCUGGCACGUUCCCAAAACAGCACGGAGGCCAAUAGGGCUGGAGCAGUGAACGAGGAGGUUGGAGACCCAGGAAAGCUGGUGAUGUAAUUCAGUUUGAAUCUGAAGGCCUGAGAUCAAGAGGAGGUGAUGAUGUAACUCCCAGUCCAAGGCGAAAC